rnacentral:sRNA from 1 species
GAGAACUGAGUGGUGUGCUGGCUCUCUCGAGAGUAUGUGCACGCUCAUCAUCUUUAUAUUUCCACCUGUGCACCUUUUGUAGACCCAGGCGACUUGAGCAAUCAAGUCAAUUGAGUCUAUGUCUUAUCAUAUACCCCAAAAGCAUGUCUUUGAAUGUAUCAAUGGGCUUUGAUGCCUAUAAACAUUAUACAACUUUCAGCAACGGAUCUCUUGGCUCUCGCAUCGAUGAAGAACGCAGCGAAAUGCGAUAAGUAAUGUGAAUUGCAGAAUUCAGUGAAUCAUCGAAUCUUUGAACGCACCUUGCGCUCCUUGGUAUUCCGAGGAGCAUGCCUGUUUGAGUGUCAUUAAAUUCUCAACCUCUCUAGUUUUUUGACUAGUAGAUGGCUUGGAUGUGGGGGUUUUGUGCAGGCUUUCACAAGUCAGCUCCCCUGAAAUGCAUUAGCCGGUACUUUCUGACCGUCUAUUGGUGUGAUAAUUAUCUACGCCGUGGACUAUUGGAUAAGUGUACUGCUUCUAAUCGUCUUUUACUAGACAAUUACAUGACAUU